GUCAAGGACUUUGGGCCUAUCAAUUUAUUGAAUGGGGUUCACAAAAUUGUUAUAAAGAUUCUUGUACAGGUUGCAAGGUGUCCUGCAUGAGCUGGUGAUGGAUGGUUAGUUUGCUUUAAUUAAAGGAAGAUCUAUAAUGGAUUGUUUGUUACUGCUCAAGAAGUAGUUUCUCACAUUUGUAGAGGUGAAAACUGACAAGGAUUCUUCUGAAAUUAGACUUUAGAGAAAAGCAUAUGAUGCUGGUGAUUCGAAAUUGUUUUUGAAGAUUCUCCAUAACAGGAGGUUUUCUCGGAUGGAUCAAUUAGAUAGAGUGUUGCCUGGUGUCUGGAUGUUCUGCAGUUCUUUUGAAUGGUAAAUCUGGAUGUUGCUUGCUUGUUGAAGUGGUUUGAAGCAAGCAAUUCCCUUAUCUCCAUUUUCUAUUUAUUUUGAUGGA
rnacentral:lncRNA from 1 species